AGUGAACGCUGGCGGUAGGCCUAACACAUGCAAGUCGAACGGCAGCACAGUAAGAGCUUGCUCUUACGGGUGGCGAGUGGCGGACGGGUGAGGAAUACAUCGGAAUCUACUUUUUCGUGGGGGAUAACGUAGGGAAACUUACGCUAAUACCGCAUACGACCUACGGGUGACAGAAGGGGAUCUUCGGACCUUGCGCGAUUGAAUGAGCCGAUGUCGGAUUAGCUAGUUGGCGGGGUAAAGGCCCACCAAGGCGACGAUCCGUAGCUGGUCUGAGAGGAUGAUCAGCCACACUGGAACUGAGACACGGUCCAGACUCCUACGGGAGGCAGCAGUGGGGAAUAUUGGACAAUGGGCGCAGGCCUGAUCCAGCCAUACCGCGUGGGUGAAGAAGGCCUUCGGGUUGUAAAGCCCUUUUGUUGGGAAAGAAAAGCAGCAGGUUAAUACCCCGCUGUUCUGACGGUACCCAAAGAAUAAGCACCGGCUAACUUCGUG
rnacentral:rRNA from 1 species